UCCAAUUAAUAUUGCUAAUUCACAUUAAUCGCAUAAAACAUACAAAUUAAUUGAGUUAAACAAAGUAAUGAGAGAAUUAGGUUUACAUGUUUGUGGCCAUUGAAGUCCCUGAACGCACAAAAACUCUCCUCCUCUCGUUUACGGCCGCAGCGCCGAUGUUGAUCUUCCCCGAUGAUUCUCCGGCCACCAUAAUCAAGAAGGGAACGACAUCUCCUUCUCAAACUCCCUCCUCUUAUCAUCCCAAUCACAUCUCUCCGCUCGAACUCGUCUCUCUGACCAAAUCUCUCAGACGCCUCUCUCAAUUUGUAAUCAUCAUCAUAUGCGCUCAGGCCCUCACUCCCUUCGCGAUUCUUCUCGUCGAAGAUUCGGUUUCAGUUCAGGUCAAAGAUGAUGAUGAAUAUUAUUGAAAGUUGAAGUUGCGAAAAUGAUGAUGCUCAAUGAGGUUUACGCGCGAUGAAGAUUGAUGCGUGAUGGAGGUUUCUUGAAGGUUGAAGUUCGAGGGAGAUUGAUUGGUGAUUUUUUGUGUUUGUGAUUAGAGAUGCAAAGCGUUUGUUACAGGUUGGUGAUGAAUGAAGAGUGUUGAAGAUGAUUAUCUUGUGAGAGAAGGUUCGAGAUUGAAGGUGAUUGAUGAUGAACUAUAAAGAACAAUGAAGAUCCAAGAGUUUGUUACAAUUUUGUUAGAAGUUUGUUCCCACUGAUUUUUUUGUUACGUUUUCUGGUGAUUGAAUGAUGAAGAUGAUGAUGAUUGAGGAGAAGUGGUGAAGGAUGAAGAUGAAGAAGAUGGGAGAAAAGAAUCGAGAGCUUUUUUUGUUACCGGUUUGUUACGUUCUUCUUCUGAUCAUUUUCUGUUAUCAAUUUCUGCUGACCAGUGAAAUCCUGUUGCGGUUUAUCUUCCGAACCCAUUUAUACUUUUUUUUCUUCUGGUUAAUUGUUGCAAGUCGGUUCGGUUUGAUUGAUGAAGGAUGGUUUAUGCUUCGACUACACAGGGCUGUUGGCAAUGGGCUUUUGAGGUGGGAACCGGUUCGAUAUGCAGGGAAUUUGAAAUUAUAGUACAAGUUUUAGCUCAAGGAAAACAAGCUGGAAUAUGGGAAGCUUCUGAACUAGCUUUAUUCAAUGCAAUUCAGUCAAGAUGACGGAGAGGAAGCUUUGUGGGCCAUUUUUGUAAAGAAUUUUACAUGUAUACUUGUAUUGUAAUGGACUUUGGAUGAAUAUAAUGGUCUGAAUUUGUAAUGAUAUUGUGAUAUAGUGAACAUGGUUUUUGGAUAGUUUUUGUAAUUGAACUUUUUUACUUUUCUUAUGAAUGUAUGAAUUGUGUUGGACUCUUGAACGAAUAUUAUGAUGAUUUUUUGA